CCCUUAGACGUUCUGGGCCGCACGCGCGCUACACUGACGAAGGCAACGAGCUUUCCUUUACCGAAAGGUACGGGUAAUCUUUUGAAACUUCGUCGUGCUGGGGAUAGAUCCUUGCAAUUUUUGAUCUUAAACGAGGAAUGCCUAUUAAGCGCAAGUCAUCAACUUGCGUUGAUUACGUCCCUGCCCUUUGUACACACCGCCCGUCGCUACUACCGAUUGAAUGGUUUAGUGAGGCCUUCGGAUCCGCGACUCGUUUGUGGAGAAGUUGGACAAACUCAGUCAUUUAGAGGAAGUAAAAGUCGUAACA
rnacentral:rRNA from 1 species